rnacentral:misc_RNA from 1 species
CCCUAUGUCGCUCCGAUUCGUCCCUCCCCCCCACCCCCAACGCGCACRCUCCCCCCUCUCCCCUUUCCCCGGCCCCGGCCCUGAGGUUUGAAACCACCCCCGCCACGCGCCGGCUAUGUCCCCCCGACCCUUCGAUGCCUCUGCUGGUCGGGAUCCCCCCCACACCCCCCGUGCCCAUGUCACGUCUUCUAUCAAAAACUUGGCAAAGGCAUGGAAACUUGGAAGCUUGACCAAAGACACGUGACGCGUGCCACGGGGCCUUGCAUGGUGCCCGCGAGCCAAGCCAAGGUGCCACGGGGCCUUGCCUGGUGCCCACCCGCGAGCCAAGCCAAGGUGCCACGGGGCCUUGCAUGGUGCCCUCCUGCGAGCCAAGCCAAGGUGCCACGAGGCCUUGCUUGGUGCCCGCGAGCCAAGACAAGGUGGCACGCGGCCUUGCAUGGUGCCCUCCUGCGAGCCAAGCCAAGGUGCCACGAGGCCUUGCUUGGUGCCCGCGAGCCAAGACAAGGUGGCACGCGGCCUUGCAUGGUGCCCACCCGCGAGCCAAGACAAGGUGGCACGCGGCCUUGCAUGGUUCCCUCCUGCGAGCCAAGCCAAGGUGCCACGGGGCCUUGCAUGGUGCCCACCCGCGAGCCAAGCCAAGGUGGCACGGGGGCCUUGCUUGGUGCCCGCCCGCGAGCCAAGCCAAGGUGCCACGGGGCCUUGCAUGGUGCCCACCCGCGAGCCAAGCCAAGGUGGCACGGGGCCUUGCUUGGUGCCCGCCCGCGAGCCAAGCCAAGGUGGCACGAGGCCUUGCAUGCUGCCCGCCCGCGAGCCAAGCCAAGGUGCCACGGGGCCUUGCUUGGUGCCCGCGAGCCAAGCCAAGGUGCCACGGGGCCUUGCAUGGUGCCCUCCCGCGAGCCAAGCCAAGGUGCCACGGGGCCUUGCUUGGUGCCCGCGAGCCAAGCCAAGGUGGCACGAGGCCUUGCAUGGUGCCCGCCCGCGAGCCAAGCCAAGGUGCCACGGGGCCUUGCUUGGUGCCCGCGAGCCAAGCCAAGGUGGCACGAGGCCUUGCAUGGUGCCCACCCACGAGCCAAGCCAAGACACGCGACGCGUGCCACGGGGCCUUGCUUGGUGCCCGCGAGCCAAGCCAAGGUGGCACGAGGCCUUGCAUGGUGCCCGCCCGCGAGCCAAGCCAAGGUGCCACGGGGCCUUGCUUGGUGCCCGCGAGCCAAGCCAAGGUGSCACGGGGCCUUGCAUGGUGCCCKCCCGCGAGCCAAGCCAAGGUGCCACGGGGCCUUGCUUGGUGCCCGCGAGCCAAGCCAAGGUGGCACGAGGCCUUGCAUGGUGCCCACCCACGAGCCAAGCCAAGACACGCGACGCGUGCCACGGGGCCUUGCUUGGUGCCCGCGAGUCAAGCCAAGGUGGCACGAGGCCUUGCAUGGUGCCCGCCCAUGAGCCAAGCCAAGACACGCGACACGUGCCACGGGGCCUUGCCUUGGUGCCCUCGAGCCAAGCCAAGACACGCGACGCGUGCCAUGUGGCCUUGCUUGGUGCCCACGAGCCGAGCCAAGACACAUGACGCGUGCCACCUCCCGUGCCACGACAGCUACAAUGACCCUCGAUAUGGUGCUAGAGGCUGUGCUAGGACACGUGACCCAUGCCAUGAUGCGUGCCACGGCCCAAGGCACGACACGUCUCGCGUGCCACGACCCCCAUGCCAUGGUGCCACGACACCUGUAAUGACCCAUUCCAUGGUGGUAGAGGCUGUGCCAAGACACAUGGUGCGUGCCCUAUCUGGAUUUCGACCCUGAUGCCUUGACAAGGUUCCGGAUUAUGGUCUAUUGCUAAUCACGGAAUGUUAUUAAUCCAUGGAUUCAUGUUGCAAAGGUUGUUCGCUAUUUUUUUNAUAUGGUUUUUUUAAGUAAAUAAAUUUAAAAAUUAAUUUUGUUUGGACAAUCAUUGGAUUCUCUUUAAAGAUUUCUUUUUCCCAUAUCAAAUACAAUUUUWAAAAAUAUUUAAAGUAAUUUUUACUUAUUUUCCCCAUUUUCCCSCUAUUUUUCUAAGUAAAAAAACUAAAAAAAAAUAUUUUUUUGCCAAGAGAGCAUCACAAAUCCUUGAAUUCGUCUUCCAUAUAUUUUUCCCAUGUGAAAUACAUUUUUUAAAAAUAUUUACACUAUUUUUUCCUCAUUUUUACUAUUUUUUAAGUAAAAAAUUCGAAAAAAAAAAAUAUUUUUGAGAGAUAAGUUGCAUUAAUUCAUGGGUUCCUAUUCCAGAUAUUUUUCCCAUGUGAAAUACAAUUUUUAAAAAUAUUUUCACUAUUUUUUGGUAUUUUUUACUAUUUUUCCCUAUUUUUCGGACAAAAAAAUUAAAAUAAAUAUUUUCUGGGCCGAAAUUUUUUUUUUUUUUUUCCCUUGGGUUCAUAUAAUUAUUAUAAAGAGAUUCAGCAAAAAAAACGGAAUUAAAAACUCUUUUUUCAUUAAAAAAUGGCAUUAUGUCUCCUCAAGCAUGGGUGAUGUCUCCUCAAGGCAUUUCCAAAAUGGCCCAAAAUGCUCUUUAAGGGGGGGGUGCUGUCCUCAAUGGGCUGGCAGCACCACCCGCCCAGGCACGCUGCAGCGCGUGCCGCCCUUGGCGUGCAGGCCGCCCAUGCCACCCUAGGCAUGGCGCCCCCGCAUAUGCCACCCUCAAGCCCACGACAUGCUAAUGCGAAGAGAGCACGCCCGCGACACCGUGGGGAGCCCUCGCACGCAACAGCAGUCACCCCGUGCCCCGUACACGCUGCAGCCCGGACGCGUCCCAUGCCCCCCAUGCGGACACGCCCUCCCCCCCAUGCAACGAGUGCCCUCCCCGCGCACUCGGCCCCGUCCCUCCCCGUCUCGGCUCGACCCCUCGAGCGAGCAUGUUGCCUCGGAAAAACGUGCCAAUGGCCAAUGUCGYGGCUCACCCCGGGGGGCUCACCCAUGCCUCCCGCCCGACGCUGCCCAUCAAAAGGCACACGGACGCCCCUCCCCCCAUGCAACGAGUGCCCUCCCCAUGCACUCGGCCCCGUCUCGGCUCGCCGAGGAGCCCUUGAGCCCUCGAGCGAGCAUGUUGCCUCGGAAAAGCUUGCCAAUGGCCAGCGUCGCGGCUCACCCCGGGGGCUCACCCAUGCCUCCCGCCCGACGUUGCCCAUCGAAAGGCACACGGAUGCCCCUCCCCCCCAUGCAACGAGUGCCCUCCCCGGGUGCUCGGCCCCCCGUCUCGGCUCGUCGAGGAGCCCUCAAGCCCUCGAGCGAGCAUGUUGCCUCGGAAAAAACGUGCCAGUGGCCAACGUCGCGGCUCACCCCGGGGGGCUCACCCAUGCCUCCCGCCCGGCGUUGCCCAUCGAAAGGCACACGGAUGCCCCCUCCCCCCCAUGCAACGAGUGCCCUCCCCGGGUGCUCGGCCACGUCCCGGCUCGUCGAGGAGCCCUCAAGCCCUCGAGCGAGCAUGUUGCCUCGGAAAAAACGUGCCAGUGGCCAACGUCGCGGCUCACCCCGGGGGGCUCACCCAUGCCUCCCGCCCGRCGUUGCCCAUCGAAAGGCACACGGAUGCCCCUCCCCCCCAUGCAACGAGUGCCCUCCCCGGGUGCUCGGCCCCGUCCCGGCUCGUSGAGGAGCCCUCAAGCCCUCGAGCGAGCAUGUWGCCUCGGAAAGGRGCCAGACGCAUCGUYGCCAUGCCUAUAUCGGUCCUACGAAGGCUUCACUCGUUGCUCCCGUGUGCUGGUCAGGAGUCGCCUCCGGACGAGUCGCGGUUCGACGCGUGAUGCCGUGUCGUAGUGAACCUGAUGGCGUGUGAGUGGUGUUUGGGUCGCGUGGGUCGGCAGGCUCCUUGCUCGUGCAACGAACUGUCGCCGCACCGCCCUCUUCAUUCUAAGCCUCAAGCGCUGCAACAAGCCUUGGGCGUCGCGAUGCCGUGGUUCCUGUGUUGCCUUCCUAACGGAUGGAAUUGUCCCUCGAACGUUGCCUAUCUCCGCCCGGCUCCCGCUCACGCGGUGCGGGCGGACCUCGAAAGCGGUCGCCGCGUCCCAUGGUCGCCCCACGCAUGCGCACGCAUGAGAGGGGUCGAGCACGGCCCGCGACGGCCGCUCGUGCUCUCGGAUGCGGAACCUUAAAACGGGCGUGGGGUCUCUCGGGAUCCCGUACUCGCUCGAGCUAAGCGUUCGUCGCUAGACGCGUACGACGGCCGUCCCCGYCUUUGCCCUCCCGUCCCGCUCCCCUCGGGGGGCGUCGGUCAGGCGCAUGCGGUGCCGGCGUCGCACAGGAAUGC